UUGGGUUAAAGAAUGUAACAUUAUACACAAGACUAACACAUUUCACACUCCCCCAACAGCCCGUCUCCACUCUCCGAGACCCCAACCCAAUCCGUAGACGGCGUCGGCGAACAUGGGCCGCCGCCGCCGCCAACCCUCCUCGCCGUCGCCGGCGGCGGAGCAUCCGCUGGAAGACGACGACCUACUGCGCGAGAUCAUCCUCCGCCUACCCCCACAGCCGCCCUACCUCCUGCGCGCCUCCCUCGUCGGCAAGCGCUGGCGACAGAUCGCCACCGACCCCAAGUUCCUCCGCCGCUUCCGCGUCCACCACCGGAAGCCUCCCCUCCUCGGGGACUUCUCGUAUGAGGACGGGAGACUCUCGUUCAGAUCCACCCUGGACCUGCCCUACCGCAUCCCUCCCGACCACUUCUCCCUACAAGUCAACGGCCGCGUGCCAUGGAGGUUGGUCGACUGCCGCCACGGACGCGUGCUCCUCAUCAACAGCGAGAUGCGUCAGGUCAUUGUGUGGGACCCCUUGACUGGCGACCGCUCCCUCCUGUCCCCUCCGCCGGCGUUUGACGACAUGCACACUGCAGCGGUGCUCUGCGCUGCCGGCGAGCAGGGCCACGCGCAUGGUGCCUGCCACUCGAGCCCUUUUAAAGUGGUCGUGGUGGACAUCUGCGAGCACGGCGAUGAAACCGUCGUCUUCGUGAGUGUUUACUCAUCAGAGACUGGCGUAUGGAGUGAUCUCCUCUCAACAACGCUUGCAUCUAUGGGCAUUGCUGUUGGUAAUCGCAGCACACUUGUUGGUAACACCCUUCGCUGGUUGCUUCUGAUGAGUAACAACAUACUUGAGUUUGAUAUGGAUAGACAGACGCUAGCUGUGAUCAAAAGGACACCUGGUGUUCGUGCGGAUGACAGUGCUUGGAUCAUCCAGGCAGACGAUGGCGGUGUUGGCUUCUCUGCUUUGUCGUGCGCCCACUGCCAGUAUGUCUACUGCUACCACCAACCCUGUUUCCGAAUGUGGGAUAGGAAGGACAAUUGCUAUGGUGUUGCCGUAUGGAUGUUGAGGAAAUCCAUUGAACUGCAGAAGCUAAUUGGGUUGGGGUUUAAGAUUGAGAGGAACUGGUCACAUAUAGUGCGUUAGGCUGAGCAUGUUCAUGCAUUAUUUUUAUGGGUGCACUCAUCUCUCUUCAUUGUUCAGCUUGAGUCAAUGCAGCCCAAGGAGCUUUUUAAAAGUGAUCCUAUGUACACCUAUUAUCCUUUCACAAGUUUGAAGUUUCUAUGAUGAAGGUAUCAGCAGUUUGAAGCAGAAGUAGCUUACAUGGAAUGCUGACUCUUGCAGGAGUGACUAUGACCAUCGAUCAUAGUUGUCAACUUGCUCGACGUGUAGAAACUAUCUAAUGCUCUGGUACUAUUUUCAGCAAUCCUAUAUGUAAUCGUCAACUGAACUCUGAAAUGCCUGGAUCCAUUCGGCAGUAUUGAGUAAUGAUUUUUCUUUCUUCGAUCAGUUGGAACCCCUUCCAGUUUGAUGCCAAAUUUCGGUUUGAGCCAUAUUCAUGUUGAAAUAUCCUCUCGCGGUGUCAUAGAGCAAGAAAUUUUUGUAU
rnacentral:rRNA from 1 species